AUGAAACAAAGAGCAACUUCUGAAUCUCCAAGAGAUAAUCUUGAGCAUUUCCCGGUGCUGAAUGGUCUGAAGAUGCUCACGGCAGACGGGUCUCUCCACGAGAGCCAGAGCACCGUCAGUCAGAUUUGGUAACCAGCUGAUUUGACUUUGAACACAGUCUGACUACAAAAAUCCAAAAUAUUUAUUCUAGAAUCAGAGAACCUGGGGCCGGUAUAUGCAAAAUGGAGGUGGUUCAGAUCUGAAAACCUUGAAGAACGAAACGGGACUUGACAAGAUUUCAGAUUGUCGGAUAACUCUUAACGACGUUAGCUCUGCCAUAGUCAUGCUGUACAUGAACCAGCUGAAUACUUCAGAGGAAGCCUGCAGAACUCACAGAUCCUCCCAUGUGGUGAAGAAAGAAGGUACAGAGAGCCUGAAUGGAAACAGGCUGGUUCAGCCCAGGGACCUUUUCCUUCCGUGGAGUUCCUCCUCACUGGAAGAGAGCGUUACAGACCCCAUCCUGGGCUUGUGUUCACGUGGCUCUGCAGCUACAUUCCGAUCUGCAUGUGCAGCACACAAGGGAACAAAAUACUUCAGAGCCAUCCCCAGGUGCAUCGUGACAGGGAAGGCAGAAAGUAUCUCUGACCCGUAUCUGGUGAAAAUAGGAUGAGUGACGUGGGAGAGACCCCAAGGCUCAGUGUGUUCUCUGGCUCUUCACACAAUGUCCUAGCUGCUUGUUAAUGAGAGCAGGGCUUUGUCCUAGCAACACAGUACCUGAAGACGUGUAUCUUGCAUUCGUCCCUCUCCCCACCCCAACACGGAGCCACUGCAGGCUUCUCGUGGAGCUAAGAACAUUCUCUCCUGCUAGUUGAUCUUAAAUUUUUUCUUCUGUUUUCACCUCAUCUGUCCCAUAGCUAUGUUGAUGAGAGAGGAAUGGUCAUGUGUAGCUUACAGUAUGGAGGAGAUUCUAGUGCAGGGGCUAAGAGCUCGGGCUACAUAGUAGGCAGAUGACCAGUGUUAGCUGUCACUCAUAUUCUUGUGUUGUUCCUUACCAGGUUGCAUUUUGAUACUGGGUUGGCACAUAUUCGCUCCUGGCCACUUGAGGCGGAAGGACUACCUGUAGUUAAUCGUUACCCCACAGAGAGGCAUACUGGCUCCAUUUUAUUAGCGGGUGGCAUCUCUUUUUAAAGGAGGACCACACUUUGGUUGUGUCACUUCUCUAUUCUGACUGGGACACAAAUCAAGGAGUUGGACUUUUUGAGUAGCAUUAUUAUGUGAAUCCUUCCUUUCCCAGUAGACUCAGAAUUUAGAAUUUUCUCACACUGAGAUACGCAUGCGAUUGGAAAAUUUAAGUCUAGGAAGAAAGUACUUGUGUGUGGCAGGUGUUGGGGAGGGGGACCAGAAGCGACAAGCUUGCCACCCGUCCACUGUGCGCAGUGUGAGUUCUCCAGCCCCCUCCCCCCUGGUAUCUCAAAGACACAAGAACCAUACAUCACAGCCCUCCAGUGAAUUCCCUGUUAGAGUGAGUCUAAUCACUGUCUGACUUGAAUUGGUGGGUUCGCUCUCAGUUAUUUUCACAUGAGAAUACAUAGUGGUGCAACAUCCUGAUUUUUAGGAGGUUCUUUGGCUCUGUUAUAGUCACAAUCAAGAUGCCAAAUAUCAGUAGGAAAAAGUACUGAAGAGGAAAGAUCCAAUUCCUAACCUAGAACUACACAUUUUCCUCUCCAAGAAAUAUCUGUACAGAGGGGAGCAGUCUUUCAAGACUAGGCCUUUGGUUUUCUUGGCAGAGCUUUCCGAAUGUGCCAGGCAGAGUGGGAGGCAGUUAGCCCUCCCACUGCUCUCACCACUACUCACUCUCAGGCUCCUCUCAGCAUAUAUUAUAAAGUCCAGUUUCUUUUAUCUUUCCCAGCGGCUGACUGCUGACCUUACUUCAGUGACUCUCUGUGUGGUUAGGCUCACGCCUCGUAAUUAACACGAGCCAGGUAUCCACAAACUGAGUGUUUACAAAUAAUAAAUCCUAGCUCAUUCCCUGAACAAAUAUUUGUGCCUUCUACGUACCUCUGCAAAACAGCGGGCAUACACAGUGGCAGAAAAAUAAAUCCGGUGAGGGCAGAGAUGGUAACUGAAGUUAAUGAGGGGAUAAGAUGUAAAAAAAAAAAAAAAAAAAAAAAAGUACACUUGGAAUUAUAAAUUUUAUUCAUGAAGGAAAACUAAGAAUGACUUGGACGGAAAAUAAGGGUAACCAUUCUGGAUUGAAAGAUAAGGGAGGGCUUCUUUGAGGAGGUGAUAUUUAAAGCCAAAACUGGAGGAAGACAAAAAGAAAAUCAAGUAAAACUGAGGACUGGAGCAUUUCAGGCAGAGGAAACAGGAGAAGGACCCUGAAGCCGCGACGUGCGCCAUGUUCCAUGAGGUGAUGGUGGGAAGUGAGGGGGUGGGAGAGAGCCGCAUCAAAACCCUGAGGCACUGGGACUUGUGACAUUAAGUGGUCGCUGAAGCCAAAAGCAGAGUAGUGACCAAAUUCUGUUCUUAAAAGACCUCUCUGGGGGGACAACAUGGCGACCUCCACGCUGGGCUUUCUGCUACAGACCGUCCGGCAGAUGGUUCCUUCAUCACCUUCAGGCCAAGUUCGAGGUUAUUACCUAGACUGGAAAAUGUUGCGUGAUGUGAAGAGACGAAAAAUGGCCUAUGAAUAUGCAGAUGAGAGGCUACGGAUCAGUUCACUCAGGAAGAAUACCAUUUUGCCAAAAGAUCUUCGGGAAGUGGCCGAUGGAGAAAUUGCUGCCCAUCCCCAGGAUAGCUUCCCUGUUCGAAUCCGACAUCGGUGUGUUAUGACGUCCCGUCCAUGUGGUGUAAAGCGGCGCUGGAGGCUUAGUCGUAUUGCCUUCCGCCACUUAGCAGACCACAGACAGCUGUCAGGGGUCCAGCGAGCAAUAUGGUGACCCGCUCUGGAGCCUACUGAGCAGGGGAACCAGUUCUGGCAAGAAGAGUCUUCUCUAACAGACAAAAACCUAGUUUUGUAGGGGUCCGGUAUGGGAGUUUAGUCUACCUGAUGCUGCCUAUGGUUAAAUUACCUUUUAAUUUUAAAUUAAGAAAUUUGGUGGAUGUUUCAGUCAGUGAAUUCUGGCUCUCUGAAUUUUCUCUUGGACUUAAAAAUUUACUGUUUUCAUACAUAGUACA